rnacentral:tRNA from 1 species
AUCCCUUUAGUAUAAUAAAUAUAUUUGACUUCCAAUCAAAAGACCUUUCAGCAAGAAGGGAUA